GCUGCUGUAAUCUUCAAGCUCUGCUCACUUGUGUUCUGCUUAGCGGUGCCGGGGUGACAUCAUGAUGCCAGCAUCAUUAAACAGCACACGAGAGAGCAGAGCAAGAAGAGCUGGACGGUUACUGCUCCCUCGGCUGUCCAAAUCCGCUGAAAGGACUGACAAACACCCAGGCGCCAGGACAAAAUUUCUAAUUUCCAUGGUGACCUGGCGUGUGGGAUUUGUAGAGCCCUGUAUUAUUAUUAGCUUUUAGGUAUCAACUACACACUAUAU